UACGUAGGGGGCAAGCGUUGUCCGGAUUCAUUGGGCGUAAAGAGCGUGUAGGCGGCCAGGUAGGUCGGUUGUGAAAACUGGAGGCUCAACCUUCAGAGGUCGACCGAAACCAUCUGGCUAGAGUCCGGGAGAGGAGAGUGGAAUUCCUGGGUGUAGCGGUGAAAUGCGCAGAUAUCAGGAGGAACACCGGUGGCGAAGGCGGGUCUCUGGGCAGUGAACUGACGCUGGAGGAGCGAAAGCGUGGGGAGCGAACAGG
rnacentral:rRNA from 1 species